rnacentral:rRNA from 1 species
UACGAAGGGGGCUAGCGUUGCUCGGAAUUACUGGGCGUAAAGGGCGCGUAGGCGGAUAUUUAAGUCUGGGGUGAAAGCCCGGGGCUCAACCUCGGAAUUGCCUUCGAUACUGGAUAUCUUGAGUUCGGGAGAGGUGAGUGGAAUGCCGAGUGUAGAGGUGAAAUUCGUAGAUAUUCGGCGGAACACCAGUGGCGAAGGCGACUCACUGGCCCGAUACUGACGCUGAGGCGCGAAAGCGUGGGGAGCAAACAGG